UACGAAGGGGGCUAGCGUUGUUCGGAAUUACUGGGCGUAAAGCGCACGUAGGCGGACAUUUAAGUCAGGGGUGAAAUCCCGGGGCUCAACCCCGGAACGGCCUUUGAUACUGGGUGUCUUGAGUUCGGAAGAGGUAAGUGGAAUUCCUAGUGUAGAGGUGAAAUUCGUAGAUAUUAGGAAGAACACCAGUGGCGAAGGCGGCUCACUGGCUCGGUACUGACGCUGAGGCGCGAAAGCGUGGGGAGCAAACAGG
rnacentral:rRNA from 1 species